rnacentral:lncRNA from 1 species
AUUUAUUGAAAGUCAAAGUGCAUUCCUCAAAACAAGCAGCAAAGUGGGAAUGGCUCAAGGAUCCUAGAGCAGAAGCCCACUGUCUUAUAUUAGCCUUCACUACGGGAUUUCCAGAAAGUGUGGCACUUGGCUUCAUUCCACUUCCCUUGGUCCUAUUGAUGUCCAGAACCGGAGUUCCCAUAGCAACAUGGGUGGUCCUAUUGAGCACAGGGCGGGGUGGGGGUUACCAUAGCAACGGUGGGUGGUCCACUUGAACCCAAGCGUGUGUGUGUGUGUGUGUGUGUGUGUGUGUGUUCCCAUAGCAACUAUGGGUGGUCCUGUUGAGCCCAGGGCGGGAGUUCUCUUGGCAACGUGGGUGACGCAAGCAGGUACAUCGUCCGGUGACCCGGCCGACAUCUUGGCAUAUUCCGCCAUCUUGUCAUCCUUAACUUCCUGCUUCGGUGGGGGAAGGGACGUGGGGAAAAGUGGAGUUCAGCGAAGAUUUUUGUCUUUACGUGUAGGACUAUUAGAGGAGGCGUAGGGGAGCCUUGCGGGGUAUUCCCCGCCCCGGGGGAACGCGGCUGCGCCCUCGGAGGGCGCGCCGGCCCGCGCCAAGGCCCCUCUCCGAGGCUGCGGCGCUCCCCCCGGCCCGGGCCGCGGUCCUCCCGCCCCGGCGGAGCCGCGCGGUGGAUUGUGGGCUGGGGGCUGCGGCGGCCUCGCGGCAGCCUCCGGCACGGUCUCCCCGGAGCCUGCCGGGCCGGGCCGGCGGGGUGAGGAGAAGCAGUGGAGCAGGGAGCAGAAGCGCCAGGGGCAGUGGUCGCUGCGCGGCGGCGGCGGCGGCGGCGGCUCCCCUGGAGGCCGGGGAUGUGGGAGAGGCGGUGGCAGCAGCGGCGGAGGCGGCGCUGCGGACCCGGGGGAAACUGCUGGCUGACAGGACACCCGGGAGAGACGUGAGGGAGCCGCCGCUGCCGCCUCUUACCCCUGAGCGGAGCUGGGCUCGAGAGGGCGACCCUGUGCUCCCCUGGCCCGCGGGCCAGCCGGCGCGAGGCGGAGGCGGGAAGCCGGGCUCGGCCCGGCCAGGCUCCGGGCGGCGGCGGCCGCGGAGCAGCAGCCUCGGCGCGACGUGGAGGGCUGGAGGCGGCGGCGAUGCACUAGGCCUCUCUCUGGGGCGGCUGCCCGGGACCGCAGUUGAGUGGUGA